AACAAGCCUCCUGCCUCAGCCAGUGUGUAGUUGGGAUUACAGCUCAAGUGGGAAGCCCUGGAGCCAUUCUGACUCCUCUCCCAUCUGGUGCAUCAGGAAAGACUGUGGGAACUACCUUCAAAUUAUCUCCAGGAGCCAGCUGCCUCCCGCCCCUCCACUGUGACCACCCUUGUCCAAGCCUGCGUCGCCUCUCACCUGCAUUCGUGCAGCCACCUCCAGACCCUCCCCAGGCUUCCAUCGCUGCAUCCUUUAGUCUCUUCCCAGCAGCCUCCAGAGUGAUCCUUUCAAAAUCUCACUUCUCUGCUCAAAACUGUGGUUUCCCAUUGCCAGGGAUAUUAAGGAUAAAAGCCACAUGCUUCAUACCA